rnacentral:rRNA from 1 species
UACGUAGGGUGCAAGCGUUGUCCGGAAUUAUUGGGCGUAAAGAGCUCGUAGGCGGUUUGUCGCGUCUGCUGUGAAAACUCGGGGCUUAACUCCGGGCCUGCAGUGGGUACGGGCAGACUAGAGUGCGGUAGGGGAGACUGGAAUUCCAGGUGUAGCGGUGAAAUGCGUAGAUAUCUGGAGGAAUACCGGUGGCGAAGGCGGCAUCCUGGACCGACAUUGACGCUGAUGAGCGAAAGCCAGGGGAGCAAAGCGGG